rnacentral:rRNA from 1 species
GAUGAACGCUGGCGGCGUGCCUAAUACAUGCAAGUCGAGCGAACAGACGGGGAGCUUGCUCCUCUGACGUUAGCGGCGGACGGGUGAGUAACACGUGGAUAACCUACCUAUAAGACUGGGAUAACUUCGGGAAACCGGAGCUAAUACCGGAUAAUAUAUUGAACCGCAUGGUUCAAUAGUGAAAGACGGUUUUGCUGUCACUUAUAGAUGGAUCCGCGCCGCAUUAGCUAGUUGGUAAGGUAACGGCUUACCAAGGCGACGAUGCGUAGCCGACCUGAGAGGGUGAUCGGCCACACUGGAACUGAGACACGGUCCAGACUCCUACGGGAGGCAGCAGUAGGGAAUCUUCCGCAAUGGGCGAAAGCCUGACGGAGCAACGCCGCGUGAGUGAUGAAGGUCUUCGGAUCGUAAAACUCUGUUAUUAGGGAAGAACAAAUGUGUAAGUAACUGUGCACGUCUUGACGGUACCUAAUCAGAAAGCCACGGCUAACUACGUG